CAAUAUACAGCUAUGGAAACACAUUAUCAUAUUACUGAGGUUACCAAUGUGAUUUAAUAAAUUAUAAUAACAACACACCUUGUCUUUCGUAUCUCUUCACUGCAUGUACUGAAUGCCAAUGGGCGGUGAAAAGAUGAAGUGCUAAGAGAGAUCACGUCCAGUCUACCGGAAGAAGGCCAGGUGGAGUUGGGAUGAUUAAUUAACAAUUUUCCUUUGCUGCUAAACUGUGAAGUGCGAACGGAAACGUUUUCUCACGUCGGUGAAAGCAGAAGAAGACACUUACGGGUGAAACGGCCGGGAUAGUUAGCAGGUUAUUCUGUGCUGCUAAGGGCACGAGCUACUGGGUCUUUGCUAGGUAACUUUGCUGGCAGCAGCCGAAGAUUUCCUGAGAAGCAGGUGCUGAAAGGACUGAGAACAGAAACUGAGAAGGAGGACAGGAGAGAACUGGGACGCUUGAGUUACCUGUGGUGUCAAGUCAAGAUCAGUGGGAAGCGUUUGGAAGUGGUUCCUGAAAACCUUUUCCAGCACGAAGGAGGAAAUUCCUCCCAGACCGACCAGAGUUUUAAGUCAGAGCUCUGAGGAAAUGAGAGCUUUGGACUUCCACUGCUCUCCAGGAGCUGGCCAUGGUGGCAGGAGUCAAAGAGAGGCUGUCCAGAGGUCCUUCUCCACAGCCAUGUCCUCUGUCUGGGCAGGUGCCAGAUGGGAUUUAUAAUCCCUCCAGCACGUCUUGGAUCCGCCCUGCGGUCGUCUCUCAGCGGGAUGCACCCAAAAUACCUCCAUAGCCAAACCAUGCAGACAGCUCAGAGCAAAUAACAAGUCACUCCCUGUGGAUGUUUGAAGAUGACGGAGCGACCGGAGCGACGAGGGAGGGAAUGCACUCUGAUUGUUCUCAGUCUUGAAGCCAACAUUAUAUUUCCAUCCAUAUAUUUGCACCAGGAUUAUUUUCAGAUUUUUCUGAUAUUCUUGUUUUUGUUGUCAUACAUAUAGACAAAAGGAACAGCAGUUAAAAACAAGACUUUAGUAUCUCAUUUGAAGGUAGGGUAGGUAAAUGGCAUGUGUGUGUAAUCACUAGUUUGACAUCCUCAUCCUAGUGUCCUAGGAAUUACAUCCACUUUUCCCAGAAGACCAUUUGUUAAUUUUUAAUAGUGGCAUGGAAAGCUGCUCUCCCCUCCAGCAAAAGAAUACUGUAGCUCCAAGAUGAAACUGACACAAUGAUAAG